rnacentral:rRNA from 1 species
GUCUUUUUGAUUUUAAUUUAAGGUCAAAUCUGCCCACUGAUUUAUAUUAAAGGGCUGCAGUAUAUUGACUGUACAAAGGUAGCAUAAUAAAUAGUCUUUUAAUUGAAGACUUGUAUGAAAGAUUUGAUGAGAUAUAAACUGUCUCUUUUUUAUAUUUAGAAUUUAAUUUUUUAGUAAAAAAGCUAAAAUUAAUUUAAAAGACGAGAAGACCCUAUAGAGUUUUAUAAUUAAUUUAUUUAUAUAUUUAUAUGUAUAAUUUAAAAUUUGAUUAAUUUAAUUAUUUUGUUGGGGUGAUAGAAAAAUAUAUUAAACUUUUUUUAAAAAUAAAACAUUAAUUAAUGAAUAAAUGAUCCAUAAAUUAUGAUUAAAAGAAAAAAUUACCUUAGGGAUAACAGCGUAAUUUUUUUUUUUAGUUCUUAUAGGAAAAAGAGUUUGCGACCUCGAUGUUGGAUUAAGAUAAAAUUUAAAUGUAGAAGUUUAAAAUUUUUGAUCUGUUCGAUCAUUAAAAUCUUACA